rnacentral:rRNA from 1 species
GACGAACGCUGGCGGCGUGCCUAAUACAUGCAAGUAGGACGCAGUUGCGAACGGGUGAGUAACGCGUAGGUAACUGCCUAUUAGAGGGGGAUAACUAUUGGAAACGAUAGCUAAUACCGCAUACUAGUAGAUGGACCUGCGUUGUAUUAGCUAGUAGGUAGGGUAAUGGCCUACCUAGGCAACGAUACAUAGCCGACCUGAGAGGGUGGUAGGCCACACUGGGACUGAGACAAGGCCCAGGAUACUACGGGAGGCAGCAGUAGGGAGUCUUCGGCAAUGGGGGGAACCCUGACCGAGCAACGCCGCGUGAGUGAAGAAGGUUUUCGGAUCGUAAAGCUCUGUUGUUAAGGAAGCGUUACUUAACAAGAAAGGGACGGCUAACUACGUGCCAGCAGCCGCGGUAAUUC